GACGUAGGAUCCGAGCGUUGUCCGGAGUUACUGGGCGUAAAGCGCGCGCAGGCGGACCGAUACAUCGGCGGUGAAAGCCCCCGGCUCAACGGGGGAGGGGCCGUCGAGAUGGCGGUCUGGAGGCAGGGAGAGGCCAGUGGAAUUCCGGGUGUAGUGGUGAAAUGCGUAGAGAUCCGGAGGAACACCAGUGGCGAAGGCGGCUGGCUGGACCUGACCUGACGCUGAGGCGCGAAGGCGUGGGGAGCGAACGGG
rnacentral:rRNA from 1 species